rnacentral:rRNA from 1 species
GAUGAACGCUGGCGGCGUGCCUAAUACAUGCAAGUCGAGCGAACAGAUGAGGAGCUUGCUCCUCUGACGUUAGCGGCGGACGGGUGAGUAACACGUGGAUAACCUACCUAUAAGACUGGGAUAACUUCGGGAAACCGGAGCUAAUACCGGAUAAUAUAUUGAACCGCAUGGUUCAAUAGUGAAAGACGGUUUUGCUGUCACUUAUAGAUGGAUCCGCGCCGCAUUAGCUAGUUGGUAAGGUAACGGCUUACCAAGGCAACGAUGCGUAGCGGACCUGAGAGGGUGAUCGGACACACUAGAACUGAGACACGGUCCAGACCACUACGGGAGGCAGCAGUAGGGAAUCUUCCGCUAUGGGCGAAAGCCUGACGGAGCAACGCCGCGUGAGUGAUGAAGGUCUUCGGAUCGUAAAACUCUGUUAUUAGGGAAGAACAAAUGUGUAAGUAACUAUGCACGUCUUGACGGUACCUAAUCAGAAAGCCACGGCUAACUACGUG